rnacentral:lncRNA from 1 species
CCAGAAGGAAGGGCCCUCAGGGAUCACACCUCUCCUUCGUUUGAGAGGAAACUGAGGACCGGAAAGGGGUGUGGCCCACUUGGGGGGGGGUCACUCAGGCAGCAAGGAAAUCACUGGUAACAUAAGGGGGCUGCUUGGGUUCAGUACAAACCAGCGUGGUCCCAACAGGUGUCAGCCGGACCCCUCCACAUCCUCUUUCUCUCUGGCGAGGGGAGUGGGCUCUUCACUGUGUGGAGAAAUGUCAGUCUUCCCCAUCGUUUGUCUUCCAUCUCACAUCCUGGAGUGGGACAAGUCCGUGCCCCUCACUGGGCCUCUCUCCUCUCCUUCUGGGCUGCAGAUUAUGAUGCCAGGACAGGUGUGCGGCCCUUCAGGCUCAGCCCCUGACUCAGAAAUCAGCCAAGGAACUGCGGAAACACAGAGGCAGAAAGGUGAUGUCAUCCUGUUCAGCAGCCUGUCUCAGGGCAAGAACGUGUGCCACAACCCAGCUGAGCCCCAGGACUUAACAGAAGGAGAGAUUCCACCCUUCCACAACCCUCUCUGGCUCACUCCUUCCCAUGGCCCGCAUUUCUCCAGGGAAGUCCUUCCUGAGGGCUAACUUAAGUGCCUCCUGCUGUAGCUUCAGCUCCUCACAGGGAUGGAACCCAGAGGACACACUAGGUGUGUCCUCAGGGACUGGUAGGGGAGUAGUGUGGGUGCAACCAGGUGGGGCCACUUUCUCCACAUCUCUCAUCUUUCUUUUCUUUUUCUCUUCUCCACCCCUCAUUCUCUUCCUUUCCCUCCUCUCUCUUCAGUCCCCCACUCCAGCUCCUGGCUGGGAGCCAGCAUUGUUCCUGCCUGGCUGCGGGCUCCCCUUCUCCUUCCCUCCCUGCCCUCUCCAGCCAGCCCAAGGGGCACCAGCCUGCCCAGUCCCUGCUAAGCAGUAGCCCCAGGCUGGGAUGGAAGGAGACCUUUCUGCUCCCAUCCUCUGCUUCCACAUCAUUCUGCCCUUCCAGUCCCCACUGAUGGCCUCCACCCUGACAUAGAAGGCCAAGGAGCUUGGGUUACUUAGGGCCCUUGGUUAUUUUUAAUGCCACCAGCUCAGAAGAUAAAUAUACCUCCACCUGCCCCCAGCUGCCCCAGACAGACCGACACCCCCUCCAGAUCCCCUCCUUCCCCACCAUUCAUCCAGUCUCCUAAGUCUUGACUGGUCUCUAAUGCCUUCUCUUCACAUUCCCUCUUAGUGGGUCCCCCUCCACACAGGACUCCCAGCAGGAAGAUAGCUUGACCCCCAAGUCCCAUAGAAGAGGUGGGAGGUGUCCUGGUGUCCUGGCUCA